GCAUAGCUCCAUUGGAAGAGCAUGAGACUCUUAACCUGAGGGUCAUGGGUUUGACCCCCAUUUUGGGCA